UGGGGAAUAUUGCACAAUGGGCGCAAGCCUGAUGCAGCCAUGCCGCGUGUAUGAAGAAGGCCUUCGGGUUGUAAAGUACUUUCAGCGGGGAGGAAGGGAGUAAAGUUAAUACCUUUGCUCAUUGACGUUACCCGCAGAAGAAGCACCGGCUAACUCCGUGCCAGCAGCCGCGGUAAUACGGAGGGUGCAAGCGUUAAUCGGAAUCACUGGGCGUAAAGCGCACGCAGGCGGUUUGUUAAGUCAGAUGUGAAAUCCCCGGGCUCAACCUGGGAACUGCAUCUGAUACUGGCAAGCUUGAGUCUCGUAGAGGGGGGUAGAAUUCCAGGUGUAGCGGUGAAAUGCGUAGAGAUCUGGAGGAAUACCGGUGGCGAAGGCGGCCCCCUGGACGAAGACUGACGCUCAGGUGCGAAAGCGUGGGGAGCAAACAGG
rnacentral:rRNA from 1 species